rnacentral:snRNA from 1 species
UUCGCUUAACACACACGGAUC